GAAUAUGGAGAACCAGCUGGCUCAAAUUACAACAAUGCUGGCGGAAAUUUCCGAGCAAAUCAAGACUUUCGCUGUCCUACCUACUGCUGGAGAUCCAAAACCCCCUACAUUUAUGCCCAUUCCGUCUGCAUUCUUGAGUCGUCAACUAUUGAGCUUAUUGGAAAGGAAGUAGCUGGAGAAGUCCCUUCGGUCACACCUCUCAUAGUGGACCUUGAUCCUUCUUUGAAGGAAGAACUUGUCUUCCUUUUAGAAGAAAAGAGUACUAGACGCCUUGCCAAAAUGGAAGAGUGGUUGUUUUUGCUGUAAGGGCAUGAGAUGCAAGGGGUCGACAACUUGUCUCCCUAUUCAAGAGUGAGAAAAUUCCUUAAACCUUCAAGGUGCCAUAGUUCAACAAGAAGAAUGAUGGUACUGGGUGUCCUAAAAUACACCUCAAGUACUAUCUAAUGAAGAUGACCCAUAAAGCAAUGUUCUUCAUUGCUGCCAAUAUUCCUAGAAGGGUGCAUACCUUCGUGGGGAAAAAAAGGUCAGUUCCUCAUUCUAUGAUAGUGUCAUGAAAGAUCCAUUUAUUUGAAGAAAAAUAGUUUUCAGAAAAUCAUUUUCUAAUUUUUUGGUGUUUGGAUUAUGGAAAACUAGUCGAUCUAUGGAAAAUGCUUUUCCUGGAUAUGAAAACAAUGAGCUUAAAUUGGCAGUAAAUGACUUCGUCUUCUGACAAGAAGGAAUUCAUUUUCUCUGAACCAUCAAAUAAAUGAAAUCUAAAUGAGUUUUUUUUUUUUUUAUCAUGAAGUUUCAAUGAAACAAACAGACCCCCUUCUUGCCAGAAUGGGAAGUUGUUUUCCCACAAUCUAAGUUUGUUGUUCCAUAGAUCCAUUGGUUUUCUGUCAUCCAAACCUCGAAAAAUUCGAUAACAAUUAUGAGGGGACAAAUUUCCAUCAAACAAGCGAACCUUUAUUGUCUACUGAUAAAAUAAACCGAGUAAAGAUUCUACCAAUAAUGUGAUGCACUAUGCUUUUUAUACAAUUAUUGUUCACUGUACCAAUAUCAUAGGAUAGGGCUUAAGAGUAAUCAGUGUAGCCAAUAUGAAGUUUAAUUCCAAUAUGUCACAGACUCUUAAAUACUCUUUACGGAAGAGAGUGGGAUUUACACAACCAGCAAGCAUAAUCUCAAUCCAGUGAAUAUAAUUCAUUAGUUGCCAAAAUGAAUUCACGGCCCCUUGGAGUAUACGUUACUCGUGGUGUAAGUCGACAUGCUUGUCUCAUCUUGAUAAUUGAUUAAAUGAAUCUAUAUGCAUGGUAGAAUAUCAGGAUCAGAGACAUCAUACAUGGAUGGAUUUGAACAACAAAUCAAGUAGCCAUGGCAUGUGGACAUCUCAGCCAUAGUCUAAAAUCACUGGAAACAGAGACGCUGUAAAUGAGUCGAACAGGUAUAUUACACAACAAUCAUUCCAAACACUAAAGCAUAAGAAUGCUUCUCGAAAUUGUAUUUCGAAUUUCGUUCAGGCAUUUUAAUGAACACUUGGCGAUCAGUUCAAAAACAGAACACGGAGUCAUUAUCGAAGCGUCAAUUCCGAUCCCGACAAUUGCAAUGACAUCGGAACGCAUUUAAACUCCUACCAACAGAUCUACCAUCACCAUUUCUACGCUCACUCGAAACCUUAAAUCACAAACCUCGGAUUCAGCUCAAUAAACAAAGCAAUGAUGUACAUACCUCGGAGCCUGUCUUUGGCCGCGAACGGCGACGUCUUGGCGGCAGCAGCAUCGCAGGAGAUCGGCGUCCGCGUAGAAGAAGCUCCAAACGAGUCUCUCGAUUCUGUGUUUUUUAGCUUUCGGCUGUGACAUCUCUCUUGACUUCGGUGAUCGGCGACACGGGCGAAAAGAGAGAGAGA
rnacentral:lncRNA from 1 species